GUCCACGCUGUAAACGAUGGAUGCUAGCCGUUGGCGAGCUUGCUCGUCAGUGGCGCAGCUAACGCUUUAAGCAUCCCGCCUGGGAGUACGGUCGCAAGAUUAAACUCAAAGGAAUUGACGGGGCCCGCACAAGCGGUGGAGCAUGUGGUUCAAUUCGAAGCAACGCGAAGAACCUUACCAGCCCUUGACAUCCCGGUCGCGGAGAGUGGAGACGCACUCCUUCAGUUCGGCUGGACCGGAGACAGGUGCUGCAUGGCUGUCGU
rnacentral:rRNA from 1 species